CUGGAGCUGAGUUACUCAUUCCCCGUAUGAAGGAGGAGUUUUCAAGCUCAUACGAGGGAGGCGUGUAAAGGGGUCAAAAGAUUCUUCACCACAGAAGUGAUGCCUUAGAAACUGUAGUCCUGAUCAAUCCCUCAGAUGAAGCAGUUAGUACUGAGCACCUCAAUAUCCUUCCUGAACUGAGGGGCCCAGAACAGGACACAAUACUCAAGGUAUAGCCUCACCAGUGCUGAGUACAGAGGAAGAAUCACACACUGCUCUGCUCUUCUGC